CGUAUCACUUAAAGCGAUUCAGCGGGUUACGAUUGACGGAGCGAAGCGACGUCAAAGCGUAUACAAAGUCGAGUCGGUUUAAGGAUACGUUCGUUGGGUAGGGGAGCGUUCUGUAAGCCUGUGAAGGUGGCCUGUGAGGGUUGCUGGAGGUAUCAGAAGUGCGAAUGCUGACAUAAGUAACGAUAAAGCGGGUGAAAAGCCCGCUCGCCGGAAGACCAAGGGUUCCUGUCCAACGUUAAUCGGGGCAGGGUGAGUCGACCCCUAAGGCGAGGCCGAAAGGCGUAGUCGAUGGGAAACGGGUUAAUAUUCCCGUACUUGGUGUUACUGCGAAGGGGGGACGGAGAAGGCUAUGUUGGCCGGGCGACGGUUGUCCCGGUUUAAGCGUGUAGGUGUGUGUUCCAGGUAAAUCCGGUUCACUUUAACACUGAGGCGUGACGACGAGGCACUACGGUGCUGAAGCAACAAAUGCCCUGCUUCCAGGAAAAGCCUCUAAGCAUCAGGUAACAUCAAAUCGUACCCCAAACCGACACAGGUGGUCAGGUAGAGAAUACCAAGGCGCUUGAGAGAACUCGGGUGAAGGAACUAGGCAAAAUGGUGCCGUAACUUCGGGAGAAGGCACGCUGACACGUAGGUGAAGUGAUUUACUCAUGGAGCUGAAGUCAGUCGAAGAUACCAGCUGGCUGCAACUGUUUAUUAAAAACACAGCACUGUGCAAACACGAAAGUGGACGUAUACGGUGUGACGCCUGCCCGGUGCCGGAAGGUUAAUUGAUGGGGUCAGCGCAAGCGAAGCUCCUGAUCGAAGCCCCGGUAAACGGCGGCCGUAACUAUAACGGUCCUAAGGUAGCGAAAUUCCUUGUCGGGUAAGUUCCGACCUGCACGAAUGGCGUAAUGAUGGCCAGGCUGUCUCCACCCGAGACUCAGUGAAAUUGAACUCGCUGUGAAGAUGCAGUGUACCCGCGGCAAGACGGAAAGACCCCGUGAACCUUUACUAUAGCUUGACACUGAACAUUGAGCCUUGAUGUGUAG
rnacentral:rRNA from 3 species